CGCGCCGCACGGAGGGGCCGCGGGCAGCUCCGGCACCGGCAGCGCCGACAGCCCGCCGGCAAACACCCGCCCGCCGGCGCGGGCAUGGGAUAUACAAAAACACAAAGGAAAAGUGGAUGCUGGACUGUUCUGGGGGCAAAAUGCUGGAAGUUUAGGAACUACAGUUUAGUGGCAGCCAGCCGGACACAGUCACCACGCCGCAGAGUGGCCAGCAAACGAGCGGGCGAGAGAAACGAGAAAGCACAAAGACUGAACUAACCCGACCCUCCUCCUCUUUCUCCUCCUUCCCCGGCUCUUUAUUUGCACAUUUACUAAAGACUUGAAAGGAAAAAAAAAAAAAAAAAAAAAAAGAGAGAGAGAGAGAGAGAGAGAGAGAAAUCCCAACAAACCCACUCCAGCUAACCUACGAGAUUUUCGGUCCGCCGGGGGUUUCUCCGCGCCGCCGACCACGGCAAUGCCUUAAAUUUUCACUUCAAGGAAUAACACCCCCCCGCUCCCCCGAAAUAAAAUAAACCCAAUAAACCUGC